GUCGCACGAGAAAGGGCUUCGGCCCCGGUAAAGUGGCGCACGGGUGAGUAACACGUGGGUAAUCUUCCCUCGAGCGGGGGAUAACAUUCCGAAAGGAGUGCUAAUACCGCAUAAGACCACGGACUCGAAAGAGUCUGCGGUCAAAGCUGGCCUCUGUAUACAAGCUAGCACUUGAGGAUGAGCCCGCGGCCCAUCAGGCAGUUGGCAGGGUAAUGGCCUACCAAACCUAAGACGGGUAGCUGGUCUGAGAGGAUGAUCAGCCACACUGGAACUGAGACACGGUCCAGACUCCUACGGGAGGCAGCAGUGGGGAAUCUUGCGCAAUGGACGAAAGUCUGACGCAGCGACGCCGCGUGAGUGAUGAAGGCCUUCGGGUUGUAAAGCUCUGUGGGGAGAGAAGAAUUAGUGGAGGCUAAUCACUCCAUGAUGACGGUAUCUCCUUAGCAAGCACCGGCUAACUCUGUGCCAGCAGCCGCGGUAAGACAGAGGGUGCAAACGUUGUUCGGAAUUACUGGGCGUAAAGCGUGUGUAGGUGGCCGCGCAAGUCGGAUGUGAAAGCCCUGGGCUCAACUCAGGAAGUGCACCCGAUACUGCGUGGCUCGAGUACCGGAGAGGUUGGUGGAAUUCUCG
rnacentral:rRNA from 1 species